rnacentral:rRNA from 1 species
GACGAACGCUGGCGGCGUGGAUUAGGCAUGCAAGUCGAACGGUAUCAUCCUUUCGGGGGUGAGAGAGUGGCGAACUGGUGAGUAACACGUAGGUUAUCUACCCUCAAGACGGGGACAACCCAGGGAAACUUGGGCUAAUACCGGAUGUGAGCAACUUUUAGUUGUUUGAAAGGUGGCGUAAGCUGUCGCUUGGGGAUGAGCCUGCGUCCUAUUAGUUAGUUGGUGAGGUAACGGCUCACCUAGGCAAUGAUAGGUAGGCGGCCUUAACGGGUGGUCGCCCACACUGGGAUUGAGAUACGGCCCAGACUCCUACGGGAGGCAGCAGUCGAGAAUAGUCUACAAUGGUCGGAAGACUGAUAGUGCGACGCCGCGUGAACGAUGAAUCCCUUCGGGGUGUAAAGUUCUUUUAUAUGUGAGCAGUGCUUCUUAUAUUAACAGUAUGGGGAGAGAGAUAUUAGCAUAUGAAUAAGCAACGGCUAACUCUGUGCCAGCAGCCGACGGUAAACG